UGAUGAAUUGAAGGAACCUGCUGCCCAGGCUAAAGAAGUCAUAUAGGUUUUAACAUUUGUGCAUUUGUUAUUGAUGGUUUGAAAUUUGAUGAACGAAUGCAUUUGAGUAGUAAACUUUGGUUGUUUAUAUUAGUAUUGAUGAAAUGUGAAGGUCUUACUACUAAAUAACUGUAAUAGCGUCAUGGAGCAGUGCAGCCUCCAUGUUCAUUGGGUAAUAUACUGUGUAUUCUGACAAACAAAUAUCGAGAUUAUAAUGCUUUGCCUUCGCUGUUGCAUUAUGGACAUUGAACAUCUUUAUUUUCUGUUAAUGUGAUGGGUUGUGCAAUGUACUACUCCUUGUGUUAAAGAUGAUAGUUGGAAGCUGACACUUAACUGGGGGAAACUGUAUGUGUGUUUUCGGUAGGACUUUGUUAUUAUGCAUAUAGAAGUAUAUCUAUGUGUUUCGAUAACGGAGUUGAUGAUGACGUCAGCCCUAAGAAGAUAGGAUAUGUGGCGAUUCUGACUAAGGUUGUGGAUGAUGAUUUGAAGAAACCUGCUCCUCCGGCUAAAGAAAAGGCGGUAUAAGCUGUGUGUGUUUGCUGAGUUCUUUACAGUUGAGGGUAGUGACGUUGUCUGAGUUGAGGGAACUCCAGAAUAUCUUUUUCUCUAGACUGUUAUGGAAUUUGUGCAGAGUCUAAUACAAUUAAAGGUGAUAUAGGCAUCUAUAGCAGCCCACUCUGUUUGUUGCUGCUCUUGCACGGUGCAUCACCUCUAAUACCAGUGUCUAUAUUCGCCACCACCACCCCCAUUAAAAAAAAAAAAGAUUGUUUUUAAAGUGUCUUCAUCAAAAUAAACUUGUUACAUAAUUGUUCAUGGCUUGUCAAACACCCUGCUCUGAUAUCUUCCAUCGGCAUCUCAGCAAUACCAUACUCAAUAUUUACCUCCAACAUUUGUCUGCCUUAGGUAUCAAUGCUGUAAUUGCCAAUUCAUAACAGAAAUCUCGAUUUGAAUGGUGGUACUUUUUCACUUGUUGCCAAGAUGGUUUCUCCGCCUUCUUAUCUCUUAUGGUAGCUAUGGAUCGUUGGCCCUGUUUUCAGUUAGACAUCUUCGUGGAGAUGAACUUUAUAUGGAGCAACCACCAGGGUUAGUAUAUUGACUUAGUAUAUUGACUGACAGGUGUGCAAAUAUCACAUGUAAUCUGGCUCUCUGUAGUCAGUGAGAUUUGUUACUAGCCUGUGGCUCAAUGAUGUUCAAGAUCUCAAGGGCCUGGAAAGGAUCCCAAUACCCAGACAAUAUGUGAAAUGAACUUUCACAUAUAUUGCAUAAUGAGUUCUAAAUGUUUUGGUGUAUGAUGCUGUCUGACUUAUACAAAUUGAUAAAGUUAAAAGAGUUUAGUGCCAACAACUGUGUUUCUAUUUGAGAUAUUACAUUGAGUUGAUUCAGAAACAAAAUGGAAGCCAUUUGUUUCUAUUUGUUUCUGAACUUGGAGCACCUCUGAGAGUUUAUUUGAGGUCUACAGUCUACCUUUCGGAGAGGACAUGUUUCUAGGUUUUACCCACUUAUCAUGUAUGUAACCCUGUCUAUUUGCAUACCAAAUAGCUGGAUGAACUGCCUAAGUCUCACCGUUCAAGAUGUCUAGCCUAUGCUCUCCUUGUAUUU